CCCAGGCAAUUUAGGCUCCAUCCCAGGGUGUUUAGGCUCCAUCCCAGGGGAUUCAGGCUCCAUCUCGCCAUUUCCAGGUGGAUUAAUUCCGCCGUUCCCGGCUGGAUUUAUGAGGAGCGGGCGGAACUGCCCUCAACCAAGGUCACGUAGGCGUGCUCUGGAUCGCUGAGAACUGGAAAAGGACCAGACCCAGCUAAUCUGAGGCCCGCACUGUGAAGACGCCGUGGCCUUGAGCACGGCUGUGUUAUGAUACCAAGGUGCUGUAGCCGAGAGCAGAGCCUGAGAAAAGAGAGAUAAGAUGUGUCCUGGAGGGAGGAUUGGCUGUGGAAGAGAGAAAGAAAACUGCCCCAUGAACAGCAGAUAACUGCCCCGUCAGUUCCAGCCUGCCCAGAUGUUCAGGUUCCUGCACACCUGGAUCACCAGUUCCCAGCACACCUGGGCACCUGCACCCUGCCCAGACACACUUGGAUCCCUCCCAGGACACCUGGAUCCCCCCAAAGACACCUGGACCCACAGAGGAACACCUGGAACUGCCCCCAGGACACCUGAAACCGUCCCAGGAACACCUGGAGGCCUCCUGAGCACACCUGGAGCCCUCAGGAACACCUGGAUCUCCCCAAAGAAUACCUGGGACAUGCCAAAAACACCUGGAAAUGCCUCUGGGACACCUGAAUCUCCCUCAAGGACACCUGGACCCACCCAAACUCACCUGGACCCCCUCAGGAACACCUCGAUGCCCCCAAAAAACCACCUGGGACCCCCCAAAUCCACCUGGGACCCCCAAAAUCCCACCUGGACCCUCCCCCUGAUGUCACAGGUGUGGCCGUGCCCCUCCCCCCUGCAGAUUUGUAUUUUUGGGUCGAUUUGUGGCGAUUUUUGGUUUCCAUUGAUAAAAAUCCAACCGGG